rnacentral:lncRNA from 1 species
CUCUCCUAUGGCAUGUGUAUCCUGAUACGUCAAUUAGGUCAGUAGGAACAUUAGGAUUUAACCAGCUCUCAGAAAGGCACAAAAAGUCCAAAUUAGAGUCAUUAAAGAGCCCAUGCCAUUAAAAUCACAUUUUUCCUAUUGUUUGUUAAAUAACAUAGGUCUGAAUAAGUUUGUGAGCUGUGGUAAGUUUGAAAUCUAUGCAGUUUGUCUGCUGAAUGCAAUAGGCAAUGAAAGGAAAAAGGCAGAAGAAAUGAGCCGAUCUGGAUAAGGUGACACUGUGACGUAGCGUUGUCAAAUUAUUAUUCAUGGCCCUGCCCACUUGGUUGGUUCGUAACCACCCACAAGAAUUCUGAAGGAGUCGUGAUUGAGCUAGUGCUAAAUGCUAAUACGUGUACGGUAGUUGCUUAGUUCGUAGUAACAGGCUAGUUACAGAAUUUUGAAUGCAAUGGCAGCCGGGCGGUGGUGCCUCGCGCCGGCAGCAGGCAGCAGGCAGCGCAGGGUUCUGUCUACUACAGAUUGAUGUGGAAGUGGAAGAACCAGAGAAGUCGGAGAACCCGACGAAGUCCUUUGUGAUUCAUUAUAUCGUCUGGACGUGCACACAGCUUUUGGCCGUGAUAAUAUGUAUUAUUUGAUAUAGAUAUCUAUGUAUUAUAUGAUAUUAUUUAGAUAUAGAGCUCCAGGACUGUAACGCAAGUGUUGUACACUUCCUUGUUAUUUGGAUAACCGUUCUGCUGUUGGUGUGAUGGCGCAUAACACGUCGGACUCUCAUCUAUGGUAUUUCUACAACUAGACCCGUAGUGGGGGUUAUCUCAGCCAUGGUUGAGAAUGAAUUGGGGGAAAGGAACUUUGGCUUUGACUCCCUGAAGUCAUGAACCACGACAUGGAGGAGAAAGGGAUUGUUGACCGCGGUCGUCUCCCGCCGGAGCCUCGCUGCCGAUGGACCACCGCCUCGGCUUCAGGAUGCGGUGAUUAGCGCUGACCGCUGCCGAGGCGGUGAUUAGCGCUGACCGCUGCCGAGGCGGCGGGAAGCAGGGCUCAAGCGGGAUACAUUCGCGGCCAACAAUCCCUUUCUCCUCCAUGUCGUGGUUCAUGUAGCCUACUUCAGGGAGUCAAAGCCAAAGUUCCUUUCCCCCAAUUCAUUCUCAACCAUGGCUGAGAUAACCCCCACUACGAGACUCGUUGUAGAAAUACCAGAGACGAGAGUCCUACGUGUUAUGCGCCAUCACACCAACAACAGCAGAACGGUUAUCCAAAUAACAAGGAAGUGUACAACACUUGCGUUACAGUCCUGGAGCUCUGCUCUAUAUCUAAAUAAUAUCAUAUAAUACAUAGAUAUCUAUAUCAAAUAAUACAUAUUAUGACGGCCAAAAGCUGUGUGCGCGUCCAGUAGGGCUGUAACGAUACGUGUAUCAAACCGAAAAUCGCGAUACUCAAAGCCACAAACCUGUCUCGCGGUGUGAGAAGGCAGAAGCGCGAUAUGCCCUUUCUAACUCUUCGGUCAAAUUGUCCGAUUGAAAUUUGCUAAUAAUUUGUCUAAACAAUAGUCUGCUGACAGCGCCCCCUCCUAUCGAUGCCGUAAAUAUGUGACGAGAUGCCCUCGCUGUGAUCACAGCUCUCCGUGGCUACGGAGGAUUGCAUUUCUCCACAGCCGUCGAAGUCCUCAUAUGCGAUAUGAACGACAUUUAUCCAGAGUGGGCCAAGCGCGAAAAAAAUUGCCUGUGUGAUCCUGUCUCUAUUGUUUUGUGUGAUUUGACUGGCAGUUUGUCUGCUCAUAGGUCGGAAUGAAGCGGCCACCGAUUAUUGACAGGAUGGGUACUUUAUUCUACCGGACUCAUUCGCUUCUUCACUCGACACACGCGCUACCGCUCGCUCUCCUCGCUCGUCCACUCACUCGCUGACGUCACUCACACACGCAUACGCACACUGCCAUUCUCCCGCACACACAUAUGCUACUCGUAACACUAUGCCUCGUUAUUGCGACGUUCAUGUUUUUCCUCAUCUAUUGAAAGUUAGGCUAUUAAACAUGUUGCAUUCUAUACGGCCUGAUUAUGUCAUUAUUUAAGCUACAUAGCCUAAUAAGAAGCGCUAAUAAGGAUAUUUGAAUAAACCAACCAAACAGUUAAAGGGGCCCUAUUAUGCCUACCAGCAAAAAGCAUCCUCCAACAGCAAUCUUUGGUUAUUUCUUUAUUAAUUUAGCUAUACUUUAAUAGUAUUCUUUCGGUUCAAAUCUGUUCAGUGUUCCAAAUUAUUUGUUAUUAAAUGUUACAUUAAGAUAAUUGGUAUUUAAGUGUUGUUUGAAUAAAAUGCUUUUUAAAUGUAAAAGAAUCGUGGGAUGUAUCGAACCGUGGGUCAAAAAUCGUGAUACAAACCGAAUCGUGAAUUUGUGUAUCGUUAUAGCCCUAGCGUCCAGACGAUAAAAUGAAUCACAAAGGACUUCGUCGGGUUCUCCGACGUCUCUGGUUCUUCCACUUCCACAUCAAUCUGAAGUAGACGCGGUCGUUUGAGAUUCAUAAUAACCUAUCGUCUGGAGGCUCACACAGCUUUUGGCCGUGAUAAUAUAUAUUAUAUAUUAUAUGAUAUAGAUAUCUAUGUAUAAUAUGGGUUUCUAAGAGCCAUUGCGAUACAUCCACCGUAAACAGAGCGCAUGGUACUGUCAGUGGCUACAAGCUGCUCAGGGCCACACCCCCACCCCCCUCCUUGACCUGCCUUGACACGCCCACCGUAUACAGAGCGCAUGGUAGUGGCUACAAGCUGCUCAGGGCCACACCCCCACCCCCCUCCUUGACCUGCCUUGACACGCCCACCGAAACAGCGCGUUUGGGGGAAGCUCAAUGUGCGACUGUUUCGGAGUGACUGUUACUCUGCACCACGGCUGAAUUUCGGGGACGUCUUUGAAUACUGUGUUUGUGGCCCACUAAUACCUAUAUUAAAGCAUCAUAAAAUAGAAUGGCAUGGGAUCUUUAAGUACAUUCCGGAUCUGGUCUAUUUUAGGCAGUAUGCUUCUGAUAUUGAUAUGUCCUCCCAAUAUACCUUUAGGUUUACAUUCAGAAUUCCAGAUGAUUUUGGCAUGAUUCACAGUUUGAAAAAGUCUUAACUGCCGUUGUUUCUGGACUGCGCGAUUAGUGAAGUGUUUUUUGGCCCUUUCGGGCGUCCGUCUUUGUUGACAUUCAUCAGCUGUCACAAACAGUUCACCGAGAGAAUGACUAUUAGUCUAUCGUCUAUUGCUGGAGCACCACACGAAUCAACACCAGGCGCCGAACUAACCCGAAUGUUAGUGCCGCUGGUGGUCCCGGGCUGGCCAAGUACCAUUGCCG